rnacentral:rRNA from 1 species
GAUGAACGCUGGCGGUAUGCCUAACACAUGCAAGUCGUACGAGAGUUUUUAACUCUAGUGGCGGACGGGUGAGUAACACGUGAGAAUUUGCCUUUAGGAGGGGGAUAACAAUUGGAAACGAAUGCUAAUACCCCAUAUGCUUUUGAGUGAAAUGGAUUUUAUCCGCCUAGAGAGAAGCUCGCGGCUGAUUAGCUUGUUGGUAAGGUAAGAGCUUACCAAGGCGACGAUCAGUAUCUGGUUUGAGAGGACGAUCAGACACACUGGAACUGAGACACGGUCCAGACUCCUACGGGAGGCAGCAGUGGGGAAUUUUCCGCAAUGGGCGAAAGCCUGACGGAGCAAUACCGCGUGAGGGAAGAAUGCCUAUGGGUUGUAAACCUCUUUUUUCAGGGUAGGAAUAAAAUAGACGUGUACCUGAAGAAUAAGCAUCGGCUAACUCCGUG